rnacentral:pre_miRNA from 1 species
AAAAAAACAAACCAUGGUUUCUAUGUCCAACGUUUGACUGUCCGUCUUAUUUAAAAAAUUAUAAAAAAUUAAAAAGAUAAGUCAUGCAUAAAGUAUUAAUUAUGUUUUAUCAUCUAACAACAAUGAAAAUACUAAUUAUAAAAAAAUUUCAUAUAAGACGGACAGUCAAACGUUGGCAUGGAAAUCUACGGUUUGUCUUUUU